UGCUGUGCUUUCUCUUUGCUCCAAACAGGACCCAAGGGAGCAGGCCCUUCUCCUUGUCUGCUGCUGCCAGAGCCAUUUUAGGAAUGGGCAGAUGGGGCGAUGAUGGUGGGAAGCAGCAGCUCACUCUGCGGGAUGUGGCAGAGCUCAUUCGGAAGAAGGAAUGUCGCCGAGUGGUGGUGAUGGCUGGCGCUGGGAUUAGCACCCCCAGCGGCAUCCCGGAUUUUAGGUCCCCAGGGAGCGGCCUCUACAGUAACCUUGAGCAGUACAACAUCCCUUACCCAGAAGCCAUCUUCGAGCUGAUGUAUUUCUUUGCCAACCCUAAGCCCUUUUUCACUUUGGCCAAGGAGCUCUACCCUGGCAACUACAGACCCAACUACGCCCACUAUUUCCUGAGACUCCUGCAUGACAAAGGGCUCCUCCUGCGCCUCUAUACCCAGAAUAUCGACGGGCUGGAGAGAGUUGCUGGGAUCCCUCCCGAUAGACUGGUGGAAGCUCACGGUACCUUUGCCACCGCCACCUGUAUGGUCUGUCGAAGGAAGUUCCCAGGAGAGGACUUCAGGGGGGAUGUCAUGGCAGACAAGGUCCCUCACUGUCCCAUCUGCACUGGAGUCAUCAAGCCUGACAUUGUGUUCUUUGGCGAGGAGCUCCCGCAGCGCUUCCUCCUGCACGUGACAGACUUCCCCAUGGCAGACCUGCUUUUCGUCAUCGGAACGUCCCUGGAGGUGGAGCCCUUUGCCAGCCUGGCAGGAGCUGUUCGCAGCUCUGUCCCCCGAGUCCUCAUCAACCGAGACCUCGUAGGACCCUUCGCCUGGCAGCAACGCUACAAUGACGUAGCCCAGCUGGGGGACGUGGUCAGUGGGGUCGAGAAGCUGGUGGAGCUGCUGGACUGGACUGAAGAGCUGCAAACACUAAUUCAGAAGGAGAAAGAAAAGCCCCAUAGGUGAAGGUCCAGUUUCCUGGAGCUGGAAGUGACCAACCAGGAAAUCCCAUCUGCCAUCUGUAUCAAAUUAAUCCAGUAUCAUCUUGUAAGUCAGCAGAGGACUUGCCUUUGCACUUGAACAGCACCGGGCACGCUCUUCUUCAGGCAGUGCUUCCCUUGGAUGCGUGCGAGGAGAGGAACGCUCCCCUGCGCGUGCAGAGGCUCUGGGGUGGCUGAUGCCGCUGUUCCGGUUUUGGUUUCUACGCUGCUUUUUCCCUGGCCGAGAGCCUGUGUCUGUGGCACUGUUAACGGCGUAUUAAUGCAAGUAACUGCUGAACUAAACCAAGGAGCCCAGCCAAGCCUCACCUCAGUGGAGCUCUCCGCUAUCUCUGGAUGCAAGAGACAAAUAGGACAGCUGGCUCCCUGCUGCUGGAGAGCAACGGUCACCUUGAGGAGGAGAUGUUGUCGUGCCCAGCACAGGCAGAGAAAAAGAGAUCAUGGCAGGGAGCCACAGAAGAGGCCAGCGGACUCUGCAGCAGCAAAUCCACCUGGGACUGGCACGCUGGGGAGGAGGGGAUGCUCACGCUCUGUCCUUGGACGGGGCUGAGGGGGGGGGGAAGCCCAAACGCCAAGCUGCAAGAUGGUUCUGCACCUGAAGGCUUUCCUUCCCGAGCUUCAGAACAGCUGGUGGAGCCACUGAGCACGGUUCCCUCCCUGUCUUACACCUCCUUUCGGCACCCCCAUGGAGAGCCUUUCCCCUUCCCUGGCCAUCGCAUGGCUGGGAGCUCGUGGGCUCGUGCCAGACGAGCUGUGCACGUGCAGCUUGCCCCCUGGGUCUCCCUCUUUCUGAGCCAUCCGGCCUCCGGGACCCUCAGAGGGCCUGGUUUUCGAGGAUUGGGAGCUGGAAACACCAUGGAGGUCAGGCUUUAAGGCAGGACAGAGUCACUUCUGUCUGGAGUGAGUUUCCAGCUACCCCCACCUGACAGAGCACCUACUGCCUCCUUUCCCAGUUCCGCCUCAGGUGUGCUUCUCCCAGUCACGGUCUUUCAGCUGCUGCAGGCCCGUAGCAUUCAUUCUUCAGAUGAAAUCUCAGCUAAUCAGGGGACAAAUGCUG